UCAGGGAUGAUAUAGUCAAAUGAGCAGGAAAAAGAACUGGUAUAGGAUUGAUGUUGAGGUCUGCGAUGGCAAUGAUUCAGCCAAGGAACUUCGCCUAUGACAAUCAUGCAACUCUUCUGGAACACGAUGAUAGAGUCAUGAUGGCUGCUUGUGAUGCAUUUUGUGCCGUUCUCAAAUAGCAAAUUCGAUGAAAGAGCUGCAGAGCGAUCAAUUGACUUCAUGAUUGGAUGGUUAGUAGCUCACAAGCUCUCAGCACAAUGGUUCAAGAAUUUUCUUAAGAGACCUUAGACUUUCUAAUAUUUAUAUAUAUGUAUCUUGUUACGAUAAGUAAUGUAACGAGAUUUAUAAAAGAAUCAUAUAUGAAGUAGUUACAUGUGAUUGUCUGCUUGGAA